GAGUUUGUAGCUCAGUGGUAGAGUGCAUGCUUUGUGUGUAUAAUGUCCUGGGUUCAAUCCCAGUUCAAUUUG
rnacentral:tRNA from 1 species